GUUUGAAUUUGAAUGGAUAACUUAUCUCUUUUGCCUUCAAGCUUAUCCAUCUUGUGCGUCACAUAAUUCACACGAGAAAAAGUUUCUCGUGAAACCUUUUCACGCACAAAGAGUCCACUCCCUUCUCUUCUCACACCACAAGUGGAUAGGGAUGAGUUGGUUUUCAUUUGAAUUCAAAUUUGAUUUGAAUUCAAAUGUGUAACCACUUGUCUUUAUCCUCUCACGCGGAUAAGACACGUUUUGAACUGUUUUAAAAGAGAUAGGGAGCUGGGGCGUGC
rnacentral:lncRNA from 1 species